ACGGAAGGCAGCAGUGGGGGAUAUUGCACAAUGGGCGAAAGCCUGAUGCAGCAAUGCCGCGUGAGGGAAGAAGGUUUUCGGAUUGUAAACCUCUGUCCCCUGUGACGAAACAAAUGACGGUAGCGGGGGAGGAAGCCACGGCUAACUACGUGCCAGCAGCCGCGGUAAUACGUAGGUGGCAAGCGUUGUCCGGAUUUACUGGGUGUAAAGGGAGCGCAGGCGGGAGAGCAAGUCAGCGGUGAAAUACAUGGGCUUAACCCAUGAACUGCCGUUGAAACUGUUUUUCUUGAGUGAAGUAGAGGUAGGCGGAAUUCCGAGUGUAGCGGUGAAAUGCGUAGAUAUUCGGAGGAACACCAGUGGCGAAGGCGGCCUACUGGGCUUUUACUGACGCUGAGGCUCGAAAGUGUGGGGAGCAAACAGGAUUAGAUACCCUGGUA
rnacentral:rRNA from 1 species